rnacentral:other from 1 species
CAUCCUCUGCGGUGUUCGCUAGCCAACCGGGUAUUUUCUUGAGCCUAAUUGAUACCCCGGGAGCAUGAAGCAGGCGCCGGUGCGCAUGUCCGUCUCGAGCGGAAAGCCUGAAGCGCCGCCGUUGUUCCCACUUGAACCUACUGGUUCAAGAACGAUGGUCAGCAGCGGCACAGGCGGAGGAUGU